AUGGAGCCGAAGGCGUCCAGCUCGAUCUCUGUGAGCCUUUCUAGCUCCAAUAGUCCGCGGCCCUUCACAGCUCUUCAAGCUAACUUCCAUAAACAAACAAAAAACCAAAACAAACAAACAAACAAACAACAAAACCCUAUUCCUGAAGUCUGGCUUCUCCGUCGGGGAUUGGGGAGUGGGAAAGGACCAGAGUCAGUUUCCACUAGCGGUUCCAAAUUCUUCCCAACAAGAUGGUAAACAAUUGGAUGGAUAAAGCAGCUAAAUAACAAGUGGGUCAAAAGACAUCCAUCACCUGUGAUGUCAUUUUGGUUCCCUUUGAAUACGAAUCACCCAACCAACUAAAACUUGUUAUUAGAACUCCUGUGUUUGCAUCCUGGCUCUGUUCUGUUGACAUGUGAAUUUGGUUAAGUCUCCUAACUUCUCUGGGUUUCUUUGUUCCUCUGUCAGAUGACAGGGCUGGACUUUUAAGGUCUUUUUCACUUAAAUCUAGAGCCAACAGUUUUCAAGAAAAGGUGAUUCACUUUGAAUGUUUCUGUAAAUAUGGGUAUCGCUUUGUUGGAAGAUUUGCCAGCUUAAACAAUCAUAGGAUUCACACAGCCACUACUACUUUGCCAAGAAAUAGUUAUAACCAUUUCACUGGUUUCUAAGCGGAAUGAUCAGGUCGUGACUGGGGGGGGGGGUGCUGUCCCUCUGAGUUCUUGCCAUUGUGUGAUGUGGAUUCCAGAGUCCAUCAUUCCAAGAUACUGUCAACAUUAUGUCGUGGGUGGUUUGUCAUUUGCAGAAGUUCUGGAGUACAUUUUCCAAGAACUAUUGCCAAUUUUCCAUUGAUCAUACAGAUGGUGAAGAAAGAUAAUACCCAUAUCUCUCUUUGACAUGGGAAUGCUUUGUACCAUUAAAAAAAAAAAAAGGAAUUCAGCAGCUAGACAGCCUACAUAUACCUUCUUCUUGGUGCUUUUUAAUUUUUUUUUAGGGAAUACUAAAGUUCAUUCACUUAUCUGAAGCACACACCUAGAAGACUUUAGAAGUUGUUGCCCAAAUUGACUAAAUAAAUUAAUUAAAAAAAAGUUGUCGUCCA
rnacentral:lncRNA from 1 species